GAGAGAGGCUCGCCAGCAACGAAGCUUGCUAUCCUUCGGACCCUUGGUUGAACUCCAUGGCUCACUCG
rnacentral:tRNA from 1 species